AUGAAGUUCAACAGGGACAAAUGCAAGAUACUUCACUUCGGCAGAAAAAAUGGAAAUCAAAGAUACAGAAUGGGGGACGCCUGGCUUGACAGCAGUGUGUGCGAAAAAGACCUUGGAGUCCUCGUGGACAACAAGUUAAACAUGAGCCAACAAUGUGAUGCGGCUGCUAAGAAAGCCAAUGGGAUUCUGGCCUGCAUCAAUAGGGGAAUAGCGUCUAGAUCCAGGGAAGUUAUGCUCCCCCUCUAUUCUGCCUUGGUCAGACCACACCUGGAAUACUGUGUCCAAUUUUGGGCACCACAGUUGAAGGGAGAUGUUGACAAGCUGGAAAGCGUCCAGAGGAGGGCAACUAAAAUGAUUAAGGGUCUGGAGAACAAGCCCUAUGAGGAGAGGCUUAAAGAGCUGGGCAUGUUUAGCCUGCAGAAGAGAAGGCUGAGAGGAGACAUGAUAGCCAUGUACAAAUACGUGAAGGGAAGUCAUAGGGAGGAGGGAGCAAGCUUGUUUUCUGCUGCCCUGCAGACUAGGACACGGAUUUCAGACUACAAGAAAAGAGAUUCCACCUAAACAUGAAGAAGAACAGGGUUGUUGUGUGCUUUCCAGGCUGUAUGGCCAUGUUCCAGAACUAUUCUCUCCUGACUUUUCGCCCACAUCUAACCUCACAACCUCUGAGGAUGCCUGCCAUAGAUGUGGGAGAAACGUCAGGAGAGAAUACUUCUGGAACAUGGCCAUACAGCCCGGAAAACACACAACAACCCUGUGAUUCCGGCCAUGAAAGCCUUUGACAACACAUGAAGAACAAUUCCUAAUUGAAUCGGCUGUACUGCCCCAGAACAUAAGUGUUGCAUUUAGUUACUGUGCUUAAAAGCCAUUGAUACAGAGUGUCUCCUGCAUGCAAAAUACGGACCCUCGCAACUGCAAAACAGGAACUAUUUUUAAACCUAGACAUCCAGAAACAUUUUUUAAAAAAUUUAAAGAAGAAACAAAUAUCAUUAUCACUUCUGUAAUUGAUUUCGUCUCCAUCUGGCCAAGCCCUGUAGGUUUCAUGUAUGUAAAAAUAUUCUUAAUGAGCUCUGAACGAAAGCAAUUACAUUAGUAACUACAACCACUCCUCGUAAUGCCGACACAGUCACAGUAGGGAAGCCUCGUUAAAUACCAUUUAAAAUGGGAUUAUUGAGAGAUGUUUAAAAGAUGUUCUCAUUUUUAAAAAACUUGUGUAUAUGGUUUUUUAACAGCCUUUGUUUUUAAAACAAUCAAU
rnacentral:lncRNA from 1 species